rnacentral:misc_RNA from 1 species
GAAACGCGAUAAGUAAUGUGAAUUGCAGAAUUCAGUGAAUCAUCGAAUCUUUGAACGCACAUUGCGCCCGCCAGUAUUCUGGCGGGCAUGCCUGUUCGAGCGUCAUUUCAACCAUCAAGCCCCCGGGCUUGUGUUGGGGACCUGCGGCUGCCGCAGGCCCCGAAAACCAGUGGCGGGCUCGCUGUCACACCGGGCGUAGUAGAUUUUUCGUCUCGCCCAGGGCGUGCUGCGGGUUCCGGCCGUUAAAAAGCCUCUCUUUUAACCCAAGGUUGACCUCGGAUCAGGUAGGAAGACCCGCUGAACUUAAGC